UACGGGGGGGGCAAGCGUUGUUCGGAAUUACUGGGCGUAAAGGGCUCGUAGGCGGCCAACUAAGUCAGACGUGAAAUCCCUCGGCUUAACCGGGGAACUGCGUCUGAUACUGGAUGGCUCGAGAUUGGGAGAGGGAUGCGGAAUUCCAGGUGUAGCGGUGAAAUGCGUAGAUAUCAGGAAGAACACCAACGGCGAAGGCAGCUCGCUGGGACGGAACUGACGCUGAGGCGCGAAAGCGUGGGGAGCGAACAGG
rnacentral:rRNA from 1 species